rnacentral:rRNA from 1 species
CCUACGGGAGGCAGCAGUGGGGAAUAUUGGGCAAUGGAGGAAACUCUGACCCAGCGACGCCGCGUGAGGGAUGAAGGCCUUCGGGUUGUAAACCUCUUUCAGUAGGGAAGAAGCGAAAGUGACGGUACCUACAGAAGAAGCACCGGCUAACUAUGUGCCAGCAGCCGCGGUAAUACAUAGGGUGCAAGCGUUGUCCGGAAUUAUUGGGCGUAAAGAGCUCGUAGGUGGUUCGAUACGUCGGAUGUGAAAAUCAGGGGCUCAACCCCUGACCUGCAUCCGAUACGGUCGAGCUAGAGUUUGGUAGGGGAGACUGGAAUUCCUGGUGUAGCGGUGGAAUGCGCAGAUAUCAGGAGGAACACCGAUGGCGAAGGCAGGUCUCUGGGCCAAAUACUGACACUGAGGAGCGAAAGCGUGGGGAGCGAACAGGAUUAGAUACCCUGGUAGUCCACGCCGUAAACGGUGGGCGCUAGUGUGACGAACUUCACGGUUGUGCGACGCAGCUAACGCAUUAAGCGCCCGCCUGGGGAGUACGAUCGCAAGAUUAAAUCAAAGGAAUUAGAG